rnacentral:rRNA from 1 species
GUGCCAGCCGCCGCGGUAAUACCGGCAGCCCGAGUGAUGGCCGAUCUUAUUGGGCCUAAAGCGUCCGUAGCUGGCCGUGCAAGUCCAUCGGAAAAUCCACCCGCCCAACGGGUGGGCGUCCGGUGGAAACUGCGUGGCUUGGGACCGGAAGGCGCGACGGGUACGUCCGGGGUAGGAGUGAAAUCCCGUAAUCCUGGACGGACCGCCGGUGGCGAAAGCGCCUCGGGAGGACGGACCCGACAGUGAGGGACGAAAGCCAGGGUCUCGAACCGGAUUAGAAACCCGUGUGUCC